rnacentral:lncRNA from 1 species
CUGUACUUAAUGCUAACGAUGGUGCCUUUUUACUUUGCAUUAUAUUAAUCUCUGUAUUUUAAUUUCAGGGGUCCAUGACAAUAUCGUAAUUGGAAAUGAGCCGUAUGUCUCCAGCACACGCAAAGAACCAGGAUGUUAUGUAUUAGGGUCUGCUGACCAGCAGGUGGCAGUGGUGGACAGUAAAGACAUGCCAGUGACACUGGAGCUACAGGAAAUUGUUGAGCAGCAAAUGAUAAAGAUCAAAGCUCUGGCAGUGACGAUAGGACACAGACUCAUGGAGAUUGAGCUUGACCUCCAGACUAAGUCAGAAAGCUAAUAUGGGCUGCACUUAGCUAAACGAUGCUAAUCAGGUCCUGUGCUCUUUGUCUUUCCUUUAGUUAGAUAAAAAGGUUCUGUGUGUUGUUUUGUUUAUGUAUACGUUCUGUCUCUCUCUUUUUGUCAUCACUUUCCUCAUGUUUCUUGCUGGUUUGGUUGUAUUAGGCAUGUUUGACUGAACAUUUGAUUUAAAAUAACACAUUUUUGUAAAGAAACUUGUUCACCAAAAAUCCAGAAAGUCAAAAUAUUAAAAUAUUAUUU